rnacentral:tRNA from 1 species
UUUAACAUUGCUGAAAGACAUGAGCUAACGGUUUUAGUCUGAUUUUAAUAGAGAGCGUUUUGCUGCUAUUUCUACUGGUCAAACAGAUGAUCGCCUUAUUUUAUUGGAG